CCUACGGGAGGCAGCAGUGAGGAAUAUUGGUCAAUGGACGAGAGUCUGAACCAGCCAAGUAGCGUGAAGGAUGACUGCCCUAUGGGUUGUAAACUUCUUUUAUAAAGGAAUAAAACGAGGCACGUGUGCCUUUUUGCAUGUACUUUAUGAAUAAGGAUCGGCUAACUCCGUGCCAGCAGCCGCGGUAAUACGGAGGAUCCGAGCGUUAUCCGGAUUUACUGGGUUUAAAGGGUGCGUAGAUGGGUUGGUAAGUCAGGUGUGAAAGUUUGCGGCUCAACCGGAAAACGGCAAAUGAUACUGGCAGUCUAGAGUAAAGUUGGGGUAGGCGGAAUUCGUGGUGUAGCAGUGAAAUGCGUAGAUAUCGAGAAGAACCGCGAUGGCGAAGGCAGGUUACUAAACUGUAACUGACAUUGAGGCACGAAGGUGAGGGGAGCGAAAGGGAUUAGAUACCCUAGUAGUC
rnacentral:rRNA from 1 species